AGAGCACUUUGCCCGGAGCCCAGCGUCCUCCCCUGAGUUCGCUGAGUCUCCCGGGACCAGCAAAGGCUGCGCGCCCCGCAUCGGCCCGGAGGCGGGGCGCCCUGGGAGGCCUGGCCGAGCUGCCCGCAGGGAAAUGGCGGAGAAAGCGCUUGUCUGCCCGAGUUCAGCCGGGCUGGGGACUUGGCCCUGGGUCCUGAACUCGGCAUGGCUAGUUCUGCCUCUGGCUGUGGACCAGGGUGUGGACUGGAGACCGCGGGGGCCAGUCUCAUCGGAUCAGAUCGAGCAGCUCCAUCGGAGAUUUAAGCAG
rnacentral:sRNA from 1 species